GACGAACGCUGGCGGCGUGCUUAACACAUGCAAGUCGAGCGGAAAGGCCCUUUCGGGGGUACUCGAGCGGCGAACGGGUGAGUAACACGUGAGUAAUCUGCCCUUCACUUGGGGAUAACCUCCGGAAACGGUGGCUAAUACCCGAUACGACCAUUCCUCGCAUGAGGUGGUGGUGGAAAGUUUUUCGGUGGGGGAUGUGCUCGCGGCCUAUCAGCUUGUUGGUGGGGUAAUGGCCUACCAAGGCUUCGACGGGUAGCCGGCCUGAGAGGGUGACCGGCCACACUGGGACUGAGACACGGCCCAGACUCCUACGGGAGGCAGCAGUGGGGAAUAUUGGACAAUGGGCGGAAGCCUGAUCCAGCAACGCCGCGUGAGGGAUGACGGCCUUCGGGUUGUAAACCUCUUUCACCUGUGACGAAGCGAAAGUGACGGUAGCAGGAGAAGAAGCACCGGCCAACUACGU
rnacentral:rRNA from 1 species